AGCGACUGUCAUUUAUCUCAAAAGAUAUCCGUGAAGAAGCAGAAAUAGUUUGGUAAAACGAAUGAGAUACGACCGAAGCUUUCAGAACUCCCAGUGGAUGAUGGAUCGUUCCGUAAGGUUUGGUUAAGAGUGAGUCGACUUAGAAACAACCUAAAAUCAACUGGCUGAUUGGUGCGCGAAUUAAGCGGAAGCGCCAUGUUGAUUAUUUAAAUCCUAUGAAGAUUUUAAAUUCUCGAAUGCUUCUUCAAGACACGUCUCAAAGUAUCCAACGAAGGUGUUUUCAUCCGAGUGCAAAGGACCUUACUGGGAGAAAAAAUGAACGGCCAGGCCAACGGACAAUAACGACCUCGGUUUCAGGGUCAGUUUGACUAUUAUCUUACCGCCAAGGCCAUGAAGUGCAUCGGUCAAUUUCUACUAUAAGGUACAUCUACACUGAUACAUACUUACAUUGCAGUUGGAUAAAU